rnacentral:sRNA from 2 species
GAUGAUAAUACGCUUAAUUUCCUGUUCGAUGAACGGGAAAGCGGGGGAACCAAUGUUUUGGGGCGAAUCAUGAACGUGCAUGUAGGGAACCAUCUUUCCCGAGCCCGGCAGCUAACCUCGUCAGCAGUAGAUGGGUCAA